rnacentral:rRNA from 1 species
UGCGCAGGCGGGCUUGUAAGUCAGUGGUGAAAUACUGCCGCUUAACGGUAGAACUGCCAUUGAUACUGCGAGUCUUGAAUAUGGUUGAGGUAGGCGGAAUGUGUUGUGUAGCGGUGAAAUGCAUAGAGAUGACACAGAACGCCAAUUGCGAAGGCAGCUUACUAAGCCAUUAUUGACGCUGAGGCACGAAAGCGUGGGGAGCGAACAGGAUUAGAUACCCUGGUAGUCC